GCUCGUCACAAAUAAAAUAAAAAAAACAUUAACAAGCAUUUGCAGAAGAAAAAAGAGUGUGAAAUGCUUACCUUGGAAUUACCGUUGAAAGAAAACUCGCUUUCUCAUUUCUAUUAAGAAGAAAAAUGAGUAUAUGGCCUCCAUGUGGUAUGGAGGAUUGAAUUCGAAUGAAUAAACAAUUAUUUUCAAAAUAUAUUGAAAGAUUUUGACCCCAAAAAAAAGUAUAUUGAAAGAAGAAAUUAAAAAAAAAAUAGUAUAUUGAAAGAAGAAAUGAAAAAAUUUUGGUUGACAGUAGAAAAUGAAUUACUCAAGAAUAAAAUUUAUCACUUCCAAUUUUUUCCGAAUGAGAUGAUUAGAAGAAAGAUUUUCUUUAUGUUUUGUCCUCUUCUAAUCCUCUUAAAAUUCAAUCUUCUAUAUCAAACAAGCUCUAAGAUUAUAUCAGUUUACUCCUUGUACUUAUAUGUCACUCUUAAUUUCCACCCCAAACACAAUCAAUUUAAAUGGUUCACUGGUUGUCCACGCAUCAUAAAAUAAACGAAAUAACAAAUGAAAAUUUAGGACCCUGAAAAAAAAAAAGUGACAAAAUAAAAUAAAAAAUUUAAGGGAGGUAAUUAACUAAAAUAGAAUUUAAAUGUGAAAAUUGACAUAUCCAAUUUUCAUUUUUCAUUUCAUUAUUUUCUUUCUAAUUUUUAUUUAAAUAAGAAAAGAAAAGCCCUAAACCCUCCCCCUCUCUCUCUAGCACUCGGCUUCGCUUGCAGCGGACCAGAAACCCAGCAAGCAUUUCUACGAAGACAUCAAAGUCAGAACCUCACUCCUCCGCUCUCAGCCCUCCUUCAGGUGAAGAAGAUGCCAUUGGGACUAAUACUCGGGUUAGGAAGGGCAUUUCAUUGAAAGCAAAUGUCAUCACUUGACAUUCUUUCCUCCAAACGUGCCCCUAGGGAUUUCUACAAGGGGAAGAAAUUGACGAUGUGCUCAUUCAAUUUGUAAAAAUUACUACUUGACAUGUUUUUAAAAUUGUCUAAAUUUUUUCAGCUAAGUAUGUCGUGCAGCACGAGAAAUUGCCUAACUAUGUAGUCCCAGAUUUAACCGACUUCAAGCUCAAACCAUAUGUAUCUCAGUGCCCCAGAGAGGUCAAGACUACUCAGUCUGCUGAACCAACUAAAUGAGCAAACUGAGUUGCUAGUGCUUGAUCCUUUCGUUAUUGUUCUAAUUGUGAAUUGAGUUGUUCCUGUUGAUAUAUUUUCUAGUAGGGAUCGAUGUUAGACUGCGAAGAGGUUAUAUUCCUGUUUGGCAUUGGCAGAUUCAUGUCUUGGAUGUGUUAAAAAGUGAUAAACCUUUCUAGCAUUGCUUUA